ensembl:snoRNA
GUGCAAACCUUCCAGCGUGACAGGGUCUUGUCGAUGACUCUGAUCAUUCCUGUUGUGUUUGCAAAAACAACCCUGGGACGGUUUGAGGCCUCCCCCUGUCCUCUUUCAGGGAGAGGUUAUAGAAAUCCCGGACAAGA